UACGUAGGUGGCAAGCGUUAUCCGGAAUUAUUGGGCGUAAAGCGCGCGCAGGCGGUUUCUUAAGUCUGAUGUGAAAGCCCACGGCUCAACCGUGGAGGGUCAUUGGAAACUGGGGAACUUGAGUGCAGAAGAGAAAAGCUGAAUUCCACGUGUAGCGGUGAAAUGCGUAGAGAUGUGGAGGAACACCAGUGGCGAAGGCGGCUUUUUGGUCUGUAACUGACGCUGAGGCGCGAAAGCGUGGGGAGCAAACAGG
rnacentral:rRNA from 1 species